rnacentral:piRNA from 1 species
UCCUGCCUUUUGGUGGUCUAUCCAUGC